CACAUACAAUAUGAAAAAAGAAAAAUUAAUUUAAUCUCUCCACAAAAUUCUCUCUUUCGGGUUCGCUCUAGGGCACCAUUAGAAACCCUGAGGAUUUGGGCGGUGUGCUGCGAUCGACUCUAGUAGCCAGUUAGCAACGAAAAAGAAUAAAGUGCGAGACAAAUUCUUGGUGGAUCGAAGAGUUCGUAAAACAAGACGGGAUUAAAUUCUGGUAAUCGUAAUAUAUUCCGUAGUGAAAGAGGUAUGUAAAAAUCUAUGUGAUUUUUGUGUUUUGUUUUGGCUAUUAUUUUUUCCAACAGUGGUAUCAGAGCCUGUUAGUUCUUGUUUU
rnacentral:lncRNA from 1 species